CACGGGGGGAGCAAGCGUUGUUCGGAAUCACUGGGCGUAAAGGGCGUGUAGGCGGUCAAGUAAGUGGAAUGUGAAAGCCCCCGGCUUACCCGGGGAUCUGCAUCCCAAACUGCUUGGCUUGAGUACGGGAGAGGAUGGAGGAAUUCCUGGUGUAGCGGUGAAAUGCGUAGAUAUCAGGAGGAACACCGGUGGCGAAGGCGUCCAUCUGGCCCGAUACUGACGCUGAGGCGCGAAAGCUAGGGGAGCAAACGGG
rnacentral:rRNA from 1 species